rnacentral:tRNA from 1 species
GACGUGGUGGGCCGGCGUCUUGCCGCUGGGGUCGGCGAAGCGGAGGAGCAGUUUCUCGGUGCGAUCCUGCGCCACCUGA